rnacentral:rRNA from 1 species
GACGAACGCUGGCGGCGUGCCUAAUACAUGCAAGUCGAACGCAUUUUCUUUCACCGUAGCUUGCUACACCGAAAGAAAAUGAGUGGCGAACGGGUGAGUAACACGUGGGUAACCUGCCCAUCAGCGGGGGAUAACACUUGGAAACAGGUGCUAAUACCGCAUAAUUCCAUUUACUGCAUGGUAGAUGGAUGAAAGGCGCUUUUGCGUCACGGAUGGAUGGACCCGCGGUGCAUUAGCUAGUUGGGGGGGUAACGGCCUACCAAGGCUGCGAUGCAUAGCCGACCUGAGAGGGUGAUCGGCCACACUGGGACUGAGACACGGCCCAGACUCCUACGGGAGGCAGCAGUAGGGAAUCUUCGGCCAUGGACGCAAGUCUGACCGAGCAACGCCGCGUGAGUGAAGAAGGUUCUCGGAUCGUAAAACUCUGUUGUUAGAAAAGAACAAGGAUGAGAGUGGAAAGUUCAUCCCUUGACGGUAUCUAACCAGAAAGCCACGGCUAACUACGUG